GGUUGUGGCUCAGAGGAAGAGUGCUCGCCUAGCAUAUGUGAGAUACUAGGUUCGAUCCUCAGCACCA
rnacentral:tRNA from 1 species